GACGGAGGGUGCAAGCGUUGUUCGGAAUCACUGGGCGUAAAGCGCGUGUAGGCGGUCCGAAAAGUCGAGUGUGAAAUCCCGAGGCUCAACCUCGGAAGUGCAUUCGAAACUCUCGGGCUUGAGUACGGGAGAGGGAAGCGGAAUUCCUGGUGUAGAGGUGAAAUUCGUAGAUAUCAGGAGGAACACCGGUGGCGAAGGCGGCUUCCUGGACCGAUACUGACGCUGAGACGCGAAAGCGUGGGGAGCAAACAGG
rnacentral:rRNA from 1 species